rnacentral:rRNA from 1 species
GUAGCAUAAUCAUUAGUUUUUUAAUUGGGAACUGGUAUGAAUGGUCGGACAAAGGAGAAACUGUCUCAAAAUAUAGAAGUUGAAGUUUACUUUUAAGUGAAAAGGCUUAAAUAUCUCAGGGGGACGAUAAGACCCUAUAAAGCUUUACACAUUAUUUAAAUUUGAUUAACUUUAGAAAUAAUAAAAAUCAGAUCUAGUCGUUGUGUUUUGUUGGGGCGACAUUAAUAUAAAUGUUAUUAACUGUUUAAGAUAAAUACAAUUAUAAAUGAUUUGUGAUUGAAUGAUCCUUUAUAAAGAUUAAAAGAUCAAGUUACUUUAGGGAUAACAGCGUUAUUUCUUUUGAGAGUUCAUAUCGAAAAAGAAGUUUGCGACCUCGAUGUUGAAUUAAAAUUUCUAUAUAGUGCAGCCGCUAUAAAAGAGGGUCUGUUCGACCUUUAAAUUUUUACAUGAUUUGAGU